rnacentral:rRNA from 1 species
AUUGAACGCUGGCGGCAGGCCUAACACAUGCAAGUCGAACGGUAACAGGAAGCAGCUUGCUGCUUGCUGACGAGUGGCGGACGGGUGAGUAAUGUCUGGGAAACUGCCUGAUGGAGGGGGAUAACUACUGGAAACGGUAGCUAAUACCGCAUAACGUCGCAAGACCAAAGAGGGGGACCUUCGGGCCUCUUGCCAUCAGAUGUGCCCAGAUGGGAUUAGCUUGUUGGUGGGGUAACGGCUCACCAAGGCGACGAUCCCUAGCUGGCCUGAGAGGAUGACCAGCCACACUGGAACUGAGACACGGUCCAGACUCCUACGGGAGGCAGCAGUGGGGAAUAUUGCACAAUGGGCGCAAGCCUGAUGCAGCCAUGCCGCGUGUAAUGAAGAAGGCCUUCGGGUUGUAAAGUACUUUCAGCGGGGAGGAAGGUGUUGUGGUUAAUAACCACAGCAAUUGACGUUACCCGCAGAAGAAGCACCGGCUAACUCCGUGCCAGCAGCGGC